GAUGAACGCUGGCGGCGUGCCUAAUACAUGCAAGUCGAGCGAACGGACGAGAAGCUUGCUUCUCUGAUGUUAGCGGCGGACGGGUGAGUAACACGUGGCUAACCUACCUAUAAGACUGGGAUAAUUUCGGGAAACCGGAGCUAAUACCGGAUAAUAUUUUGAACCGCAUGGUUCAAAAGUGAAAGACGGUCUUGCUGUCACUUAUAGAUGGAUCCGCGCUGCAUUAGCUAGUUGGUAAGGUAACGGCUUACCAAGGCAACGAUGCAUAGCCGACCUGAGAGGGUGAUCGGCCACACUGGAACUGAGACACGGUCCAGACUCCUACGGGAGGCAGCAGUAGGGAAUCUUCCGCAAAGGGCGAAAGCCUGACGGAGCAACGCCGCGUGAGUGAUGAAGGUCUUCGGAUCGUAAAACUCUGUUAUUAGGGAAGAACAUAUGUGUAAGUAACUGUGCACAUCUUGACGGUACCUAAUCAGAAAGCCACGGCUAACUACGUG
rnacentral:rRNA from 1 species